rnacentral:rRNA from 1 species
UACAGAGGUCCCGAGCGUUGUUCGGAUUCAUUGGGCGUAAAGGGUGCGUAGGCGGUCUGCUAAGUUUGAUGUGAAAUCCCGGGGCUCAACCCUGGAAUGGCAUUGAAUACUGGUGGACUAGAGUACUGGAGAGGAAACUGGAAUUUACGGUGUAGCAGUGAAAUGCGUAGAGAUCGUAAGGAAGACCAGUGGCGAAGGCGGGUCUCUGGACAGUUCCUGACACUGAGGCACGAAGGCUAGGGGAGCAAACGGG